rnacentral:misc_RNA from 1 species
AAAAAAAAAAGAGAGAGAAUAUUGAGACAGGCCAUUUUUGUUAGACCAACUGAAAUACGUGGUCUUGUUUUGAUCUUUAUUGCCUGUUGUGUGCUUCAAUUCUCAAAAUUUAAACUCACAUCUCUUCCCUUUGGAAUGUUUUGUAAAUCAGGAUGCAACGUAAAUAUUGAGGUUUCUUUGUGUUGUCAGAUCCAAGAUUAAUGUUGAUUGUACCACUAGGGUGUAGAUAUUCAAUGUGGAACGUCUGAAGUGAAACCAGUAUGAAGUUUGAAGAGUGUGAGUUUAAAUUUUGAGAAUUGAAGCA